rnacentral:rRNA from 1 species
GACGAACGCUGGCGGCGUGCUUAACACAUGCAAGUCGAACGCUGAAGCACCAGCUUGCUGGUGUGGAUGAGUGGCGAACGGGUGAGUAAUACGUGAGUAACCUGCCCUUGACUCUGGGAUAAGCCCGGGAAACUGGGUCUAAUACUGGAUGCUACAUGUCACCGCAUGGUGGUGUGUGGAAAGGGUUUACUGGUCUUGGAUGGGCUCACGGCCUAUCAGCUUGUUGGUGAGGUAAUGGCUCACCAAGGCGACGACGGGUAGCCGGCCUGAGAGGGUGACCGGCCACACUGGGACUGAGACACGGCCCAGACUCCUACGGGAGGCAGCAGUGGGGAAUAUUGCACAAUGGGCGAAAGCCGGAUGCAGCGACGCCGCGUGAGGGAUGACGGCCUUCGGGUUGUAAACCUCUUUCAGCAGGGAAGAAGCCACAAGUGACAGUACCUGCAGAAGAAGCGCCGGCUAACUACGUG